UUGGAAGACGACACGAAACAAACACAAAAGACAACACACGACACGUCUAGCCUUGAAAUUGAAAAGCGUGUAUUAUUUUAUUAUCUUCAUUAUUUUCAUGUUUUCAAUUUCGUAAUUAUUUGUUACAAAUUUAAAUACUUUUAUAAAAUUAUUUGGCUAAUCCUUUCUGUUCAAUCUGUGAUACACGAAUAAUUAAAAUGCCUCCACAAGUGCCUAAAUUUAUCAACAAAGAUGAAGAAAUAGAAUACUGGCGAAAUCGGUCCUGCGACAUUGAAAAAGAGUUCGAUGAAUUGCAAGAGAGUUCGAAACAGUAUGAAAAAGAAUUGGAAGCUAGUAUUUUUGAAACAGAACGAGAAAAUAAAAAUUUGAGAAACUAUUUUUCAUCUUUGAAACUGGAUUUUGAAAUAUUCAAGGAAAAAGCUGAAAAACAGGAGUACGAACAAACAACGAAAUUGGAAAAGCUGGAAAGCAAACGAAGUCAGCUAGAGACUAAUAAUGUGAAUCACUUAUCAUACAUCCGUCAACUGGAGCAAAAAAAUGACGAUCUCGACCGUUCACAAAGGGUAUUGCAUGAAUCCUUGAAAGAGAUCGAAACAAGACUCAAUUCCACUAUAGAAAGGAAUGCGCUUUUAGAAUCAGAAAAAGAUCAGCUAGAAAAAGAGAAAGAACAGCUAGAAAGUCAUGUCCAAAGACUCAAAGAUGAAGUGAGAGAUCUGAAGCAAGACAUCAACCAUAGAUCACGAGAACCAAGCUGCAAUGAAGAGCCGCGGCUGAAACGCAAACGCUAUUUAUGAUUCGUCACAUGUCUACUAGAUCUACGCCUGUCGAGUUCGCUGAGAUUUUGCUAAGAAAAAUUGAAGAAACUGAAGCAAAGUUGAAAGCAUGCAGCCUUAUUAAACGCAUCAAUAAAAAGUUACAAUGAUAUCGGAAAUUUAUGAAAUUUUCCAUCAUCUAUACUGUGAUUAAGAAAUACUACUUCACCCGUGAGACUGAAAUAUGUCCAAUCGAGAAUAUUGUUAAGUUUUAUAGAAUUUAUUUAGAAGCUAAUUUUGUAAGUUAUGUAAGGUUUUUGUAAGUUAUUCAGGUACAGUAUUUUAAAACAUGUUUUGUAAUUUUUGUGCGAUACAAUAAGAUCAUUAUUGUAUUAUUAGAUGUAUUGUGAUAUUUGAAUUUGUAUAAAACUACCUACCUUCUUUGCAAACAAAAAAUAUUUUUUAUUGUUUCAAUUCGCUAAUUUUAAUCAUAACAAUUUGUUUGUAGUGUGAUAAACUAUUUAAGAGAAUGAAGAUGUGCCAUACUUUUGAGAAAUGCCAUUAUAAUAGAAAUGUUUUUUAGUAAACCCAUUUAUUAUUUUUUCAAUUCUAAACAUAAUUCUGGUUUAUUGAAUAUGGCUUUAUAGUAGAAAAUAUUUUGUAUUAUUCUCUCAUUCAAAUAAGAAUUCAUUUCUAUGUCAACUUGAGCUCAAUUAUUUAGUAGGUCGCUGUUAGACUUGAUUGAUUUUCCAUUUUUGAUCAUGGCGAGAUAAUAAUAGAAACGUUAUUCUCUACACUUAGCAUCAUCGUAGUUGAGUGAUUAAUAUUAUCAGUGGAAUUUUAAGCGGAAUAUUAUUGGUGGAGCUUUAUAAUCAAUGUUUUGAAACUCAUUUUUUGAAGAGUUAUAAAUAUUUAUUGUGUUAUAUGUUAUAAAUGAGAGCUUAUUGAAAUGUUAUUGUAUGUAAUUCUUUUCUUUUUUUAAUGAAAUAUAUUUUAUUAAAUGCG
rnacentral:misc_RNA from 1 species